rnacentral:rRNA from 1 species
UUCUGGCUCAGGAUGAACGCUAGCUACAGGCUUAACACAUGCAAGUCGAGGGCAGCGAGAAGGAAGCUUGCUUCUUGUCGGCGACCGGCGCACGGGUGAGUAACGCGUAUCCAACUUCCCCUUAGUAGGGCAUAGCCCGUAGAAAUGCGGAUUAAUACCCUAUGUUAUUCGUCGAGGACAUCUGAAGUGAAUCAAAGGUUUACCGCUAAGGGAUGGGGAUGCGUCUGAUUAGGCAGCAGGCGGGGUAACGGCCCGCCUGGCCUACGAUCAGUAGGGGUUCUGAGAGGAAGGUCCCCCACAUUGGAACUGAGACACGGUCCAAACUCCUACGGGAGGCAGCAGUGAGGAAUAUUGGUCAAUGGGCGAGAGCCUGAACCAGCCAAGUAGCGUGCAAGGAUGACGGCCCUAUGGGUUGUAAACUGCUUUUAUGCGGGGAUAAAGUCACCCACGUGUGGGUGUUUGUAGGUACCGCAUGAAUAAGCAUCGGCUAAUUCCGUGCCAGCCGCGGC